rnacentral:rRNA from 1 species
AAAGGCGAAAAGAACCCCGGCGAGGGGAGUGAAAAAGAACCUGAAACCGUGUACGUACAAGCAGUGGGAGCACGCUUCGGCGUGUGACUGCGUACCUUUUGUAUAAUGGGUCAGCGACUUAUAUUCUGUAGCAAGGUUAACCGAAUAGGGGAGCCGAAGGGAAACCGAGUCUUAACUGGGCGUUAAGUUGCAGGGUAUAGACCCGAAACCCGGUGAUCUAGCCAUGGGCAGGUUGAAGGUUGGGUAACACUAACUGGAGGACCGAACCGACUAAUGUUGAAAAAUUAGCGGAUGACUUGUGGCUGGGGGUGAAAGGCCAAUCAAACCGGGAGAUAGCUGGUUCUCCCCGAAAGCUAUUUAGGUAGCGCCUCGUGAAUUCAUCUCCGGGGGUAGAGCACUGUUUCGGCAAGGGGGUCAUCCCGACUUACCAACCCGAUGCAAACUGCGAAUACCGGAGAAUGUUAUCACGGGAGACACACGGCGGGUGCUAACGUCCGUCGUGAAGAGGGAAACAACCCAGACCGCCAGCUAAGGUCCCAAAGUCAUGGUUAAGUGGGAAACGAUGUGGGAAGGCCCAGACAGCCAGGAUGUUGGCUUAGAAGCAGCCAUCAUUUAAAGAAAGCGUAAUAGCUCACUGGUCGAGUCGGCCUGCGCGGAAGAUGUAACGGGGCUAAACCAUGCACCGAAGCUGCGGCAGCGACACUAUGUGUUGUUGGGUAGGGGAGCG